GGUGGGUUCCUUGGUUUUUUUAAGAACACGCCAAGCCUUUCACAAGCUGUGAGCAAUGGGACUUUAUCGCAACAAAUCAAGAAAGGAGAUGCCACCAAUGGUGGCGAGUGUGCAAGGACUGAAAAGCGCUUGCUGUGGACAAAAGAGGAAGAUCUUAGAUUCGUUGGUGCUUGGUUGAAUAAUUGAAACGAUCCAAUCCAAUCAAAUUACAAGAAGAAUGACCAGGAAAGGCUAGUCAAGCAAGUGAAGGAUCGCUUUGGGAGAAUUAAGAAAAGGGUUGCAUGGUUUUGUGGGAGUUACAAGGAAGCUAGUGCACUGUAUGGGUGGCAAGACAGCUAAAGGAAACGAAAAACAAAGGACGAAGGUUGUAUAAUAGAUCUUGAAGAUGAGCUUAGCAAGUUUUUAGAUGCUCAGAAUGCAGCAAAUGAAGGCCGCAAAGAGAUGUUAGAGACACAAAGGCGUGUGUCCAGUGAGAAUCUUGAGGCUCGGAAACUUGCAUGCCUUGCAGCAAAAGACACAAGUAGGAUGUCUGAAGAUGUGAGAUCCGAGCACAUGUUGGCAUUGAAGUGUUUCAGGGAGAAGCUAUUUGGAAAAACUGACCAAGGUAUUUCCUAUUGUCCAUUGCCUUAG
rnacentral:rRNA from 1 species